AUGCAUGUCUUAGUCAUCUAGUGCUAAAAAAAAAAAAAACUGUAACAGAAAUACCACAAAUGAACGGCUUUCACAAACAGAAGUUUAUUCUUUCACAGUCUAGUAGUCUAAUAGGCUAUAAUACCGAAUUCCGGGACCCAGCUCCAGGGGAAGGCUUUCUCUCUCUGUCAGCUGUGGGGGAAGGUCAUUAUCAUGUAUUUUCCCUGGUCUAGGAGCUUCUCAAAGCAAGGACCUCGGGUUCAAAGACACACUCUGCUUCAGGCACUACUUUCUUGGUGGUAUGAGGCUCCCUUCGGGCCCGAUAGGUGCUGGUGGCUUUGGUGACUCUGGAUAGCAUUGGACCAAUCACACAUCCCUCAUGUGCACUUCUGCCCUAUCAACUUUCGAUAGUAGUUGCCAUACCUACCAUGGUGAACACCGGUGAUGGGAAAUCAGGGUUCAUUCCAGAAAGGGAGCAUAAGAAACAGCUACCACAUCCAAGGAAGGCAGCA
rnacentral:ncRNA from 1 species